CAUGCUCCUCGUGCAUCGAACUGUUGAAAGUCGAUCUCAUCAAUCAAAGGCCAUACACAUUUUUGUGUUAUGGAUGAAUGUCGGGUUCCUGUGUUGCAUACCCAAAAGUGGAAAUCGGUUAUGUUAUGGGUUGAUAUUUGCCUAUGCCUGUCAAGGGCUAGUGGUGAACAUGGAAGCACCUCUUGUGUUCCAAACAUGUUAAUUCAACUGUUUUGGCACAUUUGUAGGUUGCUCGUGAUCUUGGAUGCUGAAAUUAUUUUGUAGCUGAGGGAUCGGAUCUCUCAAUUGCUCAAAACAUUUGUUAUGUACGAACGACAUGUAGUGCUUGUUUCCAGCCCUCCUCAUGCUACAAUGUUGGUAUGUUGAGGAAUGGAGCAAGCGUUGCGUUCGUGAAGGAAUGC
rnacentral:misc_RNA from 1 species